rnacentral:rRNA from 1 species
UUAAACGGCCGCGGUAUCCUAACCGUGCAAAGGUAGCAUAAUCACUUGUCCUCUAAAUAAGGACUAGAAUGAACGGUCAAAUGAGGACUAAACUGUCUCUUACAUUCAACCAAUAAAACUGAUCUUUUAGUUAAAAAGCUAAAAUAUACCCAUAAGACGAGAAGACCCUGUGGAGCUUUAAACCAAGCUCACAUUUAUGUCCACUUGGUUUUUAGUUGGGGCGACUUCGGAGUACAAAAAAACCUCCAAUCGGACCUCAUGUGCUAAGACUAACAUGCCAAAACACUUUUAAACCUAGACCCAGUAGUCCUAAAACUACCUGAUCAAUGAACCAAGUUACCCCAGGGAUAACAGCGCUAUCCUCUUCCAGAGUCCAUAUCGACAAGAGGGUUUACGACCUCGAUGUUGGAUCAGGACACCCAAAUAGUGCAGCCGCUAUUAAAGGUUCGUUUGUUCAACGAUAAAAGUCCUACGUGAUCU